GGUAACUUUAAGAUGAGAAACUUUUAACUAUAAAAUAAGAUAAGGUACGCGGUAACUUUAAGAUGAGAAACUUUUAACUAUAAAAUAAGAUAAGGUACGCGGUAACUUUAAGAAGAAAGACUUUUAACUAUAAAAUAAGAUAAGGUACGCGGUAACUUUAAGAAGAUAAACUUUUAAAAGUAAAAUAAGAUAAGGUACGCAGUAGCUUUAAGAACGAGUCACAUUGUUUAAUUUUAUCUUAACUUGACAUAAAGGUGUUUUUU